rnacentral:antisense_RNA from 1 species
CCAAACAAAAGACACUCUAUAAUCAGGGGAGAAGUCUUCUCUAUAUCUUUCUUAUAUGAGCAAAUUUAAUGACCUCCACCAUGUCUAAGAACAAGCAGCUAUUUCUGUAGAGAAAGAUCACCUUUGGAUAACAAUACAUGAUUUUAGGCUCUAAAAGUUAAAACGUGUUUGUAACGUUGAUAUUAUGCAGAGGUCUUGACAGAACUUAGCAGUCUCUGAGGCUACAGAGAAGUGUGAAAAAGAGCAUAGAGAUUUCAGAAGGAGGCAGAUUCAGUCAGACAUACUGAAUCCUGUUUGAUCUCAAUUCAGGCACACUCCAGAUGGAUGGAGCAGGAAAACCCUUAGUGAAACCUGCCUCUGCAGGUUGAUGGCUUGGGAGGAGAGGCAUUAUGGAAAAUGAUUAGAUGUGAGAAUCACAGCAAAGGAAGAAUGGGCAUGAAUAGUAAAUGGUAAAUGUGGGGAUGCAGUAUUGAACAGCACACUGGAGUUUUUGUCCAGAAGUUUGACUUUAGAAGAUAAGAAAUAACUGAGCGUAUUACAAGCAGGAGUUAGAGGAAGAGACUCAGUACAGAAGAGACAGGAACAAAAGUUCACCUCCAUUAGAUGGGAAAGGAUACAGAUCAAGAGCUCAGGAAAAGUAGGAGAAAGAAGCUCUAUUCCAGAAGCAGUGUGGAGCACAAAGAAUCCCUAAUCCCUGACAUUAAGAAAGAAGAAAAAUAUUCCUAGGACGAUCCUGGAGAGCAAAG